rnacentral:rRNA from 1 species
AGUGAACGCUGGCGGUAGGCCUAACACAUGCAAGUCGAACGGCAGCACAGUAAGAGCUUGCUCUUACGGGUGGCGAGUGGCGGACGGGUGAGGAAUACAUCGGAAUCUACUUUUUCGUGGGGGAUAACGUAGGGAAACUUACGCUAAUACCGCAUACGACCUACGGGUGAAAGCAGGGGAUCUUCGGACCUUGCGCGAUUGAAUGAGCCGAUGUCGGAUUAGCUAGUUGGCGGGGUAAAGGCCCACCAAGGCGACGAUCCGUAGCUGGUCUGAGAGGAUGAUCCGCCACACUGGAACUUAGACACGGUCCCGGCUCCUACGGGAGGCAGCAGUGGGGAAUAUUGGACAAUGGGCGCAAGCCUGAUCCAGCCAUACCGCGUGGGUGAAGAAGGCCUUCGGGUUGUAAAGCCCUUUUGUUGGGAAAGAAAAGCAGCAGGUUAAUACCCCGCUGUUCUGACGGUACCCAAAGAAUAAGCACCGGCUAACUUCGUG